UUGAAUGGCCGCAGUAUAUUGACUGUGCAAAGGUAGCAUAAUCAUUAGUUUCUUAAUUAGAAACUGGAAUGAAUGGUUGGACGAGAGAAUAGCUGUCUCUUUAUAAAUUGUUUAGAAUUUUAUUUUUAAGUUAAAAAGCUUAAAUAAAUUUAAAAGACGAGAAGACCCUAUAGAGUUUUAUAUAUGUAUUUAUUAAUAAUAUUUUUAGAAUAAUGUUAUAUUUUUUUAAAAAUUAUAUUUAGUUGGGGUGAUUAAAAAAUUUAAUAAACUUUUUUUUUAUAUAAACAUUAAUUUAUGAAAUUUUGAUCCAUAAAAAUGAUUAUAAGAUUAAAUUACCUUAGGGAUAACAGCGUAAUUUCUUUGAAGAGUUCUAAUCGAUAAAGAAGUUUGCGACCUCGAUGUUGGAUUAAAAUUAAGUUUUGGUGUAGAAGCUAAAAUAUUAGGUCUGUUCGACCUUUAAAAUUUUACAUGAUCUGAGUUUAAACCGGUGUGAGCCAGGUUGGUUUCUAUCUUUAAAAAAAAUUAAUAUUUUAGUACGAAAGGACCAAAUAUUAGUAAAAUUUAUUUUUAAUUGAUUAUUAUUAAAUU
rnacentral:rRNA from 1 species